rnacentral:lncRNA from 1 species
GAAAUAAGAAGAGAAUAAGUCUUUCACAAUGUGCAAAAGAACUUCCUGUGGCCUUACCAUGAAACGGCGACGAAGCAGUAGUGUCAGACGCUGGCAGAAGAACCCAGAAACGAUCCUCGGGCACAUUUUACAGAAGCGUGAGGCCGGCGACGA